UUUAAUAUGGCUGAUGGAAAAAAAGAAUUUAUUGAAACCAAGAUAAGCCCUAUGAGUGAAAACCUUUCAUUACAAAUUAGCCCUUUAAAGUUUGAUGGUACUAAUCAUCUUGCAUGAUCGAGAUCUUGUUCACUGUUUAUUCAACCUAGAGGGCUACCGGGAUAUAUCAUUGGAGACAAAACCAAACAAGAAACUAGUAGUUCUACUCAUAGCCAGUGGGAGUGGGAGUCAGAGAAUACCCUUAUAAUGUCCUGACUAAUUAAUUCAAUACAACUACAAAUAGCCCAUAGAUAUUUGCUUUUGGAUAAUGUUGCUACUAUCUGAAAUCUCAACGGGCAAUGAUGCUCAGUACAGUCUCUAAGGCGUUUGCUGUCACAACUGGAAUCUCAAACUGUCACAGUUGUUUAUUCUAAUAUUGUUAAAUCAGAUAAUGUUUUCCUUACCAAUCUUGAAAAUCUCUUUGGGUUUAAGAUUUUGAAGCAAACAAGCACAUGACAGGCUCUUUAAAUAAGUUCACAACCUAUUCCCCAUGUUCAACAAAAGAAAAAGUCAGCAUAGCGAAUGGAUCCUUAGCCAAUAUCUCUGAAACAGAUUUUGUUGAAUGUACUCGCACUAUAAAUCUUACUUUCUGCUGGAAUCUCAAUCCCUACAUUAAAGGGAUUAUUAUUUCUUUCUUCUUAUGUAUAUAAUGUUUCCUAUUUAUAUUAGAUUCCAUUAAAUUAGGUUUCUUUGUAAAUGUAGGAAUCUUCUAUAUGAAUAAGCAUACGUACAAUGUUAUUAAAACAUAUGAAAAAUAUAGAAAUUUCUCUCAAAUACAUUAG
rnacentral:misc_RNA from 1 species